rnacentral:snRNA from 1 species
AACUUUGCUCAGUGGUAGUAUCAUAGCCAAUGAGGUUUAUCGGAGGUGUGAUUAUUGCUAUUGAAAUGUAGAGGCCAGGAGCUGAGGUCACACUCCCCUUCGCCCUUUGCUUUGCUUUGCUUUGCUUUGCUUUGCUUUGCUUGAAGC